UACGUAGGGUGCAAGCGUUGUCCGGAAUUAUUGGGCGUAAAGAGCUCGUAGGCGGUUCGUCGCGUCGGCUGUGAAAACCCGAGGCUCAACCUCGGGCCUGCAGUCGAUACGGGCGGACUGGAGUUCGGCAGGGGAGACUGGAAUUCCUGGUGUAGCGGUGAAAUGCGCAGAUAUCAGGAGGAACACCGGUGGCGAAGGCGGGUCGCUGGGCCGAUACUGACGCUGAGGAGCGAAAGCGUGGGGAGCGAACAGG
rnacentral:rRNA from 1 species